UCAAUCUGCGCGGCCAGUCGUCUAUCGC
rnacentral:piRNA from 1 species